GGAGAGGGAAGCCAGUUGGCGAUUAGUGGAUGCGGCCGGACGACGGUGAGGAGGUGGUGAAGGUGGUCGGCGGCGGCGCAGAGUUGGUAGGGGCAAACGCCGUCGUAUGCGUGCUGCGUUAGGGCAAGGCAGUGAGAGAAGGUUGAAUUGCAGGCUGAGUCAAAUUCGGGCGAGUUUGUAAGUGAGUUUCUGACUCGUUUUGAGGCUGAGAUUCCCAUUAUCCUUCUUCCUCGCUCUCUCCUCCCCACAACUAGUUCUAGUUUUUAAUGACACUUGAAUAAAUGUCUGAAAACAAA
rnacentral:misc_RNA from 1 species